GUGAGUAACACGUGGAUAACCUACCUAUAAGACUGGGAUAACUUCGGGAAACCGGAGCUAAUACCGGAUAAUAUUUUGAACCGCAGGUUCAAAAGUGAAAGACGGUCUUGCUGUCACUUAUAGAUGGAUCCGCGCUGCAUUAGCUAGUUGGUAAGGUAACGGCUUACCAAGGCAACGAUGCAUAGCCGACCUGAGAGGGUGAUCGGCCACACUGGAACUGAGACACGGUCCAGACUCCUACGGGAGGCAGCAGUAGGGAAUCUUCCGCAAUGGGCGAAAGCCUGACGGAGCAACGCCGCGUGAGUGAUGAAGGUCUUCGGAUCGUAAAACUCUGUUAUUAGGGAAGAACAUAUGUGUAAGUAACUGUGCACAUCUUGACGGUACCUAAUCAGAAAGCCACGGCUAACUACGUGCCAGCAGCCGCGGUAAUACGUAGGUGGCAAGCGUUAUCCGGAAUUAUUGGGCGUAAAGCGCGCGUAGGCGGUUUUUUAAGUCUGAUGUGAAAGCCCACGGCUCAACCGUGGAGGGUCAUUGGAAACUGGAAAACUUGAGUGCAGAAGAGGAAAGUGGAAUUCCAUGUGUAGCGGUGAAAUGCGCAGAGAUAUGGAGGAACACCAGUGGCGAAGGCGACUUUCUGGUCUGUAACUGACGCUGAUGUGCGAAAGCGUGGGGAUCAAACAGGAUUAGAUACCCUGGUAGUCCACGCCGUAAACGAUGAGUGCUAAGUGUUAGGGGGUUUCCGCCCCUUAGUGCUGCAGCUAACGCAUUAAGCACUCCGCCUGGCGAGUACGACCGCAAGG
rnacentral:rRNA from 1 species